ACGAACGCUGGCGGCCUUCCUCACCCCUGCCAGUCGAACGAGACCUUCGGGUCUAGUGGCGCACGGGUGCGUCACGCGUGGGAACCUGCCCUUAGGUUCGGAAUAACUCCCCGAAAGGGGUGCUAAUACCGGAUAAUGUCUUCGGACCAAAGAUUUAUCGCCUUUGGAUGGGCCCGCGUUGGAUUAGCUAGUUGGUAGGGUAAAAGCCUACCAAGGCGACGAUCCAUAGCUGGUCUGAGAGGAUGAUCAGCCACACUGGGACUGAGACACGGCCCAGACUCCUACGGGAGGCAGCAGUGGGGAAUAUUGGACAAUGGGCGAAAGCCUGAUCCAGCAAUGCCGCGUGAGUGAUGAAGGCCUUAGGGUUGUAAAGCUCUUUUACCCGGGAUGAUAAUGACAGUACCGGGAGAAUAAGCUCCGGCUAACUCCGUG
rnacentral:rRNA from 1 species